UACGUAGGGGGCAAGCGUUAUCCGGAUUUACUGGGUGUAAAGGGAGCGUAGACGGUUAUGCAAGUCUGAAGUGAAAGCCCAAGGCUCAACCAUGGGACUGCUUUGGAAACUGUAAAACUGGAGUGCAGGAGAGGUAAGCGGAAUUCCUAGUGUAGCGGUGAAAUGCGUAGAUAUUAGGAAGAACACCAGUGGCGAAGGCGGCUUACUGGACUGUAACUGACGUUGAGGCUCGAAGGCGUGGGGAGCAAACAGG
rnacentral:rRNA from 1 species